rnacentral:rRNA from 1 species
AUACGUAGGGUGCAAGCGUUAAUCGGAAUUACUGGGCGUAAAGCGUGCGCAGGCGGUUCGGAAAGAAGGAUGUGGAAUCCCAGGGCUCAACCUUGGAACUGCAUUCUUAACUACCGAACUAGAGUAUGUCAGAGGGGGGCAGAAUUCCGCGUGUAGCAGUGAAAUGCGUAGAUAUGCGGAGGAAUACCGAUGGCGAAGGCAGCCCCCUGGGAUAAUACUGACGCUCAUGCACGAAAGCGUGGGUAGCAAACAGGAUUAGAUACCCUGGUAGUCCACGCCCUAAACGAUGUCAACUAGCUGUUGGGCCCUUCGGGGCUUAGUAGCGUAGCUAACGCGUGAAGUUGACCGCCUGGGGAGUACGGUCGCAAGAUUAAAACUCAAAUGAAUUGACGGGG